CUAUUACGUGCUUUUCAUAUCUCCUAUAAAAGAUAUGCAAUUGUUAUUGUUGCUUAUCUUCUAUUUUUGGCGUUCUUCGUCUUCUCAAUGAGUUCUAACUACCUUGCCAAAAAUUCAAAUUUGAUUGUAGUUCAGGAAUUCCAAUACCUAAGUUUAGCCAUAUUAUCUAUGACUUUUCACACCGAACCAAACAGUGGUUGACAGAUUCAUUUUCCUCUUCGCAGCGGCGACAAGUCUCAAAUGAUAUUCCAGAGUCUUUUCAUUGCGAAUUAAGUUGGAAGCUGCUCUAGAGGGUGUGGUAGAACUAAAAUGCUAUUGAGUAUCUUGAUGCUACUGCAUGUAUAAUUAUCGUUCUUCUCUCUUGGCCAGGAAUCGGAUGAAGGAGCAUAAUGAAGAGUUAUACCACAUUAUUGUAUUAAUUAGAAAAUUUUUCUUCCCUCAUCUUUGUUAUUACAAUUUUGUAAGAGGGAUAGGAGUUGUAUGUUUAAUUUGUA